rnacentral:rRNA from 1 species
GACGAACGCUGGCGGCGUGCUUAACACAUGCAAGUCGAACGGAAAGGCCCUGCUUUUGUGGGGUGCUCGAGUGGCGAACGGGUGAGUAACACGUGAGUAACCUGCCCUUGACUUUGGGAUAACUUCAGGAAACUGGGGCUAAUACCGGAUAGGAGCUCCUGCUGCAUGGUGGGGGUUGGAAAGUUUCGGUGGUUGGGGAUGGACUCGCGGCUUAUCAGCUUGUUGGUGGGGUAGUGGCUUACCAAGGCUUUGACGGGUAGCCGGCCUGAGAGGGUGACCGGCCACAUUGGGACUGAGAUACGGCCCAGACUCCUACGGGAGGCAGCAGUGGGGAAUAUUGCACAAUGGGCGGAAGCCUGAUGCAGCAACGCCGCGUGCGGGAUGACGGCCUUCGGGUUGUAAACUGCUUUCGCCUGUGACGAAGCGUGAGUGACGGUAAUGGGUAAAGAAGCACCGGCUAACUACGUG